UAGAAGAAUUGUGGCCUUAUAUACCUGCAAGAAAAAAAAAGGUAAGCAUUAAACAAAUCAAAUCCAUCAAGGAGGUUUUUACUAUACUAUAUGGCACAAUUUAUAGAUAAAAUCCCUGGCAUAAACGGUUUGUUCACCAUUGUGACACCAACACAGCUUAUCAAAAUCAAGAAUAGCAUACAAAAGCUCCCAGCACUUUGAACCAGUAUAACAGUUUUCUGCCUCUAAACCUUCUUUUUCAAUGGGUUGAAACUUGAAAUGCAAAAGAACUAGGCUGGUGAUAAAGAAUGAGAAACAGGAAUGGGACUGACACCUUUGUUCACAGUUCUUAAGUGUCUAACAACCCAGAAUGGAAAAAUUGGGAACAAAACACAAUAAAAGUUGCUUAUUUGGUUUUCCUAUCUACAGAGGCCGGUGUUAAUAACCAAGAAUAUGAAUGUGAGGCAAUUCCCAUUACCAUUCUUUGUAACAAAAGAGGCGUAAAUUGUUGGCGAUUGUGCAUCAUUUCUCUGUUUUUCUCAUUUUCUUUUCCCAGUUCAUGCACCAUCAAGGCAAAGGUGUUUGGGAGGACAUUAGUUAUUGCUUUUCUUGUUGAUCUAUAUUUUGCAAAGGAUAAUAUUCGCUGACAAUUUCAAAUCCCUACCAAGUACUGUAUCAUUUAAGAAAUGUUGAUCUCCAAAAAGGUAAAAAAAUAAAAAAAUAAAAAGGACGUGUAAACUGGUGAAAUAAUAAUAUGACAUGACACUCAUCUGCUAUGUACCAAGGGUUCAGUGCACCAGAGAGGAGCCAAACCCAUUCUGGAUUUACCUGAAAAACAAUUUAAACUUAGCACUUGGCAUAACCAACUAGAUGCAGCAGAACAAUAAAAAGCAUAAAAUAAAACUAUUUCACAGGAUAAAGUAAAAGCAUCAAACUUUAGAAAAAUUUUGCGAAACCAAAC
rnacentral:misc_RNA from 1 species